rnacentral:rRNA from 1 species
UACGUAGGGGGCGAGCGUUGUCCGGAUUCAUUGGGCGUAAAGAGCUCGUAGGCGGUUCGGUAAGUCGGGUGUGAAAUCUCCGUGCUCAACACGGAGCGGCCACCUGAUACUGCCGUGACUCGAGUCCGGUAGGGGACGUGGUGGAAUUCCGUGGUGUAGCGGUGAAAUGCGCAGAUAUCAGGAAGAACACCCGUGGCUAAGGCGGCUCUCUAGUACGGUACUGACGCUGAGACGCGAAAGCGUGGGGAGCGAACAGG